rnacentral:lncRNA from 1 species
AACUUCUUUGACCGUAUUACAUCAUACAUGAGAAAACACUUUUGAAUAGUUGUACUACUUCACCUCUAUGCUACUAUGUUUUUGUCUUGUUUACAUUGAUUUAUCUUUAUGCCUUUGCAUAUUACACACAUUUAGUGCACAUUUUUUAAUGUUUUUUGGACAGUUAGCACAUUACCUAGCUUAAUAGACCAUCAUUUCCUCGAAUACAAAUCUCAUUCAAAGCAUCGCAUUAUAUAUCAUAUUGCUUAAGGCCUUGGAUAAUGAAACUCCUUGCUUCUUUUUAUUGUUCAAUCUCUGUUGAAUACAUAUUUAAUCCAAUUUUCAAGAUAGUCCAGUCAUAUAGUAGACACAUUCUUUAACUUAGAAUUUAUGCUACCAAAGUUGAACAUCUUUGCAUACAAACGUUUUUUGCUACACUAUACAAACAGUGUAUCACAUUUUAAUACCUUGUUUUUCGCCACACUAUACAAACAAUGUAUUGCAUGCAAUUUUAUCUUGGGCUCUGUCGCAUUUUGUCAUUUUAUAGAGUGUUUUUGCUCCGUUGCGAGUACAGGUUUAACACAUUUUUCAGGUCACACUGUUCCUAUUACUUGUCCAAGUAUAUCAUUUCUUUUCUAUUAGCUUCAAAGGAAUCCUACAGCACCGAAAACAUCGACUUAUUCACACAGGCUACUCGGCAUGCUCGGCUCCAACAUCAUAAGUUCUCAUGCCAUUAUCUGAGAAGACCCUCAUACACUGGGGGCGACAUGACAAUCAUGACUACCAUUCAUUUUUCUCUCUAUUGAACUGAAUACACUAUCUGAUCUGAAAUCUCUGUGGGCACAAGUAUCUCGCACAGCUCGGUGUUCACAAGUACAAUCCAUGCACAAGUAUAAAUUGAGAUCUCCAGGACGACAUUGACAUCCGUGCAUACAUGAGUCACCCCGAGUACAUCAAAUGUUAUACGUACAAAUGGCUUGUCUCUAAAUAUUGGUUGUAUUUAUACAGUUGGCUCAUAUACACUAACAACUCCUCAACAAAAGAAGAAAAACAAAUC